CAGCAGCCGCGGUAACACGGAGGGUGCGAGCGUUAAUCGGAAUUACUGGGCGUAAAGCGUACGCAGGCGGUUUGUUAAGUCAGAUGUGAAAUCCCCGAGCUUAACUCGGGAACUGCAUUUGAAACUGGCAGGCUAGAGUCUCGUAAAGGGGGGUAGAAUUGCAGGUGUAGCGGUGAAAUGCGUAGAGAUCUGGAGGAAUACCGGUGGCGAAGGCGGCCCCCUGGACGAAGACUGACGCUCAGGUACGAAAGCGUGGGGAGCAAACAGGAUUAGAUACCCCUGUAGUCCCUGUCUCUUAUAC
rnacentral:rRNA from 1 species